rfam:Daphnia pulex DAPPTscaffold_35_Cont2034, whole genome shotgun sequence.
CAAACGGCCCUUUUCAGGGCCACCCAAAAUAUUCAAGAAAUGAAAA